GAUGAACGCUGGCGGCGUGCCUAAUACAUGCAAGUAGAACGCUGAAGGAAGGAGCUUGCUCUUUCCGGAUGAGUUGCGAACGGGUGAGUAACGCGUAGGUAACCUGCCUGGUAGCGGGGGAUAACUAUUGGAAACGAUAGCUAAUACCGCAUAACAGUAGAUGUUGCAUGAUAUCUACUUAAAAGGUGCAAUUGCCCCACUACCAGAUGGACCUGCGUUGUAUUAUCUAGUUGGUGAGGUAACGGCUCACCAAGGCGACGAUACAUAGCCGACCUGAGAGGGUGAUCGGCCACACUGGGACUGAGACACGGCCCAGACUCCUACGGGAGGCAGCAGUAGGGAAUCUUCGGCAAUGGACGGAAGUCUGACCGAGCAACGCCGCGUGAGUGAAGAAGGGUUUCGGAUCGUAAAGCUCUGUUGUAAGAGAAGAACGAGUGUGAGAGUGGAAAGUUCACACUGUGACGGUAUCUUACCAGAAAGGGACGGCUAACUACGUG
rnacentral:rRNA from 1 species